UUUUAGAGUUUGAUCCUGGCUCAGAUUGAACGCUGGCGGCAUGCCUUACACAUGCAAGUCGAACGGCAGCACGGAGCAAUCCUGGUGGCGAGUGGCGAACGGGUGAGUAAUGUAUCGGAACGUACCUUUCAGUGGGGGAUAACGUAGCGAAAGUUACGCUAAUACCGCAUAUUCUGUGAGCAGGAAAGCAGGGGAUCGCAAGACCUUGCGCUGAUUGAGCGGCCGAUAUCAGAUUAGCUAGUUGGUGGGGUAAAAGCUCACCAAGGCGACGAUCUGUAGCGGGUCUGAGAGGAUGAUCCGCCACACUGGAACUGAGACACGGUCCAGACUCCUACGGGAGGCAGCAGUGGGGAAUUUUGGACAAUGGGGGCAACCCAUGAUCCAGCCAUGCCGCGUGAGUGAAGAAGGCCUUCGGGUAGUAAAGCUCUUUCGGCCGGGAAGAAAUCGCAUGGGUUAAUACCCUGUGCGGAUGACGGUAC
rnacentral:rRNA from 1 species